ACACAUGGCCGACGCGGGUCAAAGUGUGGUAUCUGUUCUUAUCAGCUUAAUAUUUGAUACGGGUUGUAUUUGGACCUAAGAUAUCAAACAUAUUUUUGCAACAUGGCGGAGUGCUUAAAGUCUGCUUCACCUCCAUCGCGGGUCGGCCCGGUAUGGCGCUAUCUUCGGGAAUGGCCCACGUAUG